CGAAAGCGAGUUUUAACUGAGCGUUCAGUUACUUGACGUAGACCCGAAACCGGGCGACCUACCCAUGAGCAGGAUGAAGCGAAAGUAAAAUUUCGUGGAGGUCCGAACCCCCGAGCGUUGAAAAGCUCGGGGAUGACUUGUGGGUAGCGGUGAAAUUCCAAUCGAGCCCGGAGAUAGCUGGUUCUCCCCGAAAUAGCUUUAGGGCUAGCCUCAA
rnacentral:rRNA from 1 species